UACGAAGGGUGCAAGCGUUACUCGGAAUUACUGGGCGUAAAGCGUGCGUAGGUGGUUUGUUAAGUCUGCUGUGAAAGCCCCGGGCUCAACCUGGGAAUGGCAGUGGAUACUGGCAAGCUAGAGUGCGGUAGAGGGUAGUGGAAUUCCCGGUGUAGCGGUGAAAUGCGUUGAUAUCGAUAGGAACUCCGGUGGCGAAGGCGGCACACUGGACCACCACUGACGCUGAUGCGCGAAAGCCAGGGGAGCAAACGGG
rnacentral:rRNA from 1 species